rnacentral:rRNA from 1 species
GACGAACGCUGGCGGCGUGCCUAAUACAUGCAAGUCGAGCGAAGCGGCGGAUGGGUGAGUAACGCGUGGGUAACCUGCCCUUAAAUCUGGGAUACCAUUUGGAAACAGAUGCUAAUACCGGAUACUACAGGAUGGACCUGCGAUGCAUUCGCUAGUUGGUAAGGUAACGGCUUACCAAGGCGAUGAUGCAUAGCCGAGUUGAGCGACUGUCUGUCCACAUUGGGACUGAGCAACGGACCAAACUCCUAUGGGAGUCAGCAGUAGUGCAUCGUCCACAAUUGACGCAAGUCUGAUGGAGCAACGCCGCGUGAGUGAAGACGGUUUUCGGAUCUUAAAGCUCUGUUGUUGGUGAAGCGGUAAUCAACCAGAAAGUCACGGCUAACUACGUGCCAGCAGCCGCGGUAAUAC